rfam:Danio rerio chromosome 12 genomic contig CTG1221, GRCz11 reference primary assembly.
GCCUCGCUAGCUCAGUCAGGUAGAGCAUGAGACUCUUAAUCUCAGGGUCAUUGGUUCGAGCCCCACGUUAGGCG